CAGAGAGGAUGAUGUAUAAAGUGUGCACAGAGUGACAAGGUGAGUGGGCUGUGCAGGCGGGGCCCCAGGUUUCUGCUGGAGCCUGAUCCUGGCAGGAAUGUCCAUUAAAGAGAUUCUGAUGUGUGACACACUGCUACAGUGGUCAGUACUAGUACAGCAAGGGAGCAGUGGGAACAGUCAGAAUAUUUAAAAGGAAAUUACUAAUUCUGUACAUUUAAAGCAUAAUCAGAUUAUCUUGGAUAUAUUUAAAGUUUAUUUCCAGCUGGAGAAAAUCAAUGCCUUAGGAUUUGUUCUGUUCUCUUUAUUCAGUAUAAAAUUUGCUUAGUUUACAAGUCAAAAGAUGAUUUUUAAUUACCAGCAUCAACAUAAAAUAGAUCUGGAUCAGAUAUCUGGAUCCCUUCAGGAAAUGAACAUAUUUUCUCAACUCCACAAGGCAAAGAAGAUAAAGUGGAGCACGUUGCCUGGAAGAACCAGUUCAACAGGAGCUGAACUGAGUCUAUGAAACCUGGUCACGUAUCCACUGGCAUCACUGAAAGAGUAUAACCAACCUCAAAUGAUUAAACCCUUGUUAUUGAACUGAAA